CGGGAAUUUUGGGCAAUGGGCGAAAGCCUGACCCAGCAACGCCGCGUGAGGGAUGAAGUAUUUCGGUAUGUAAACCUCGAAAGAAUGGGAAGAAUAAAUGACGGUACCAUUUAUAAGCUCCGGCUAACUACGUGCCAGCAGCCGCGGUAAUACGUAGGGAGCAAGCGUUGUUCGGAUUUACUGGGCGUAAAGGGCGCGUAGGCGGCGCGGUAAGUCACUUGUGAAAUCUCUGAGCUUAACUCAGAACGGCCAAGUGAUACUGCUGUGCUAGAGUGCGGAAGAGGCAACCGGAAUUCUUGGUGUAGCGGUGAAAUGCGUAGAUAUCAAGAGGAACACCUGAGGCGAAGGCGGGUUGCUGGGCCGACACUGACGCUGAUGCGCGAAAGCCAG
rnacentral:rRNA from 1 species